AUUGAACGCUGGCGGCAUGCCUUACACAUGCAAGUCGAACGGUAACAGGUCUUCGGAUGCUGACGAGUGGCGAACGGGUGAGUAAUACAUCGGAACGUGCCCGAGAGUGGGGGAUAACGAGGCGAAAGCUUUGCUAAUACCGCAUACGAUCUCAGGAUGAAAGCAGGGGACCGCAAGGCCUUGCGCUCACGGAGCGGCCGAUGGCAGAUUAGGUAGUUGGAGGGAUAAAAGCUUACCAAGCCGACGAUCUGUAGCUGGUCUGAGAGGACGACCAGCCACACUGGGACAGAGACACGGCCCAGACUCCUACGGGAGGCAGCAGCGGGGAAUUUUGGACAAUGGUCGCAAGCCUGAUCCAGCCAUGCCGCGUGCAGGAUGAAGGCCUUCGGGUUGUAAACUGCUUUUGUACGGAGCGAAACGGCUUCCACUAAUACUGGGGGCUAAUGUCGGUACCGUAAGAAUAAGCACCGGCUAACUACGUGCCAGCCGCCGCGGUAAAAC
rnacentral:rRNA from 1 species